CACGUAUAUUUGCCACGGAUUCCUGGAGGAGUGUAGAAGUCGGCCUCCUGCCCACCGACUAUGAUCCAGGUCUGGCACACUGUUUGGGAGUUACCCUGCCCAGACGCCACUAGCAGCUUUCUCUGGGUGCCCCUGGUUCGGCACUUUCCCUUCAUGCGACUAGAACCGAACACUUGUCACAUAAUUACCGUGACUCCGCUCCCCCGAAGUUACUUCCGCGUUCAGAAGUAAGCUCCUCCCAUUCCAAUGACGCUCCACUCACAUGCCUUAUAGGUAAGCCACACCAAACUCAAAUUGCUGAGUUAUUUUGAUCUGACCGUGGACUCCACGCUGAGCUACCUCUUUCGCUUCUACCAGCCCUCGUUCACCUCAUUCUCUUCAGCAUCUG